CUAUCAACAGAUGCAAAGACGUAAUACCAUUCUGUGUGCAUUUCUUGUCCUCUUUGGACAACUGUCUGAAUCCAGUGGAAUUUCAUUAAUGGGUUUUGAAAAGAGAGGUUGGACACUGAAUAGUGCAGGAUACCUCCUUGGGCCAUAUGCACAACGAACGCUGACUGUGAGACAUAGACCCCUACUGGGCAAAAGGAGUGUUUGGGAAGAUGAUGUGAAACCAUUCCAAAACAGUGAAUACAAGUCUGUCAUGGAUGACGCCUACGUUCAAGCUUUUCUGGACUUCAUUACUUACUUACGUCUGAAAGGUGAACUCUCU